GGGGCUGUAGCUCAGUUGGCUAGAGCAUCUGCUUUGCAAGCAGAGGGUCAGGAGUUCGAGUCUCCUCAGCUCCACCA
rnacentral:tRNA from 1 species